CUCGACGAGCGCAAGUUCUGUUUGAUCAUUGGGCGUAAAGGGUGGGUAGGCGGUUUUGGAGGGGAACCUGGGCCGACUUCGGCGACACUGAAGUGUAGGGUUCUUUGAAGGAACUGGAGUAAGGGAGGGGAAGAGGGAAUGGGGGCCGGACCGUUGAAAUGGGAUCAAGGCCUCUGGAGCACCGAUGGCGAAGGCACUCUUCUGGACCUUGACUGACGCUGAGCCACGAAAGCCAGGGGAGCAAACGGG
rnacentral:rRNA from 1 species